rnacentral:misc_RNA from 1 species
GAUGAAGAACGUAGCGAAAUGCGAUAAGUAGUGUGAAUUGCAGAAUUCAGUGAAUCAUCGAAUCUUUGAACGCACAUUGCGCCCCUCGGUAUUCCGUGGGGCAUGCCUGUUCGAGCGUCAUCUACACCCUCAAGCUCUGCUUGGUGUUGGGCGUCUGUCCCGCCUCCGCGCGUGGACUCGCCCCAAAUUCAUUGGCAGCGGUCCUUGCCUCCUCUCGCGCAGCACAUUGCGCUUCUCGAGGGGCUACGGCUCGCGUCCAACAAGCACAUUUACCGUCUUUGACCUCGGAUCAGGUAGGGAUACCCGCUGAACUUAAGCAUAUCAAUAAGCGGAGGA